rnacentral:lncRNA from 1 species
CCAUCCAAUCCAACACAUCUUCUUGUCCUAUACCAACAACUUGGUAAUAGUUUAGACAGUAGUCACCCACAUAGUUGGGUCUACAAAUGUAUCCUUCGGCUUUUGACAAUUGCAUAGAGGAGUUAAAAGUGGCGUGGACCGGAUAUGAGUACAUCAAUGUCUCCUUGUAUUUUAUCCAGUAAAGAUAUUAAUCCAUAAUAAUAUUAAUAUUCAUAUUCGUUUCAAAAGAUACAGG